rnacentral:tRNA from 1 species
GGAGCGGUGGCCGAGUGGUUGAAGGCACCAGUCUUGAAAACUGGCGAACUCGCAAGGGUUUCGUGGGUUCGAAUCCCACCCGCUCCGCCA